rnacentral:rRNA from 1 species
UACGUAGGGCGCGAGCGUUGUCCGGAAUUAUUGGGCGUAAAGAGCUCGUAGGCGGCCUGUUGCGUCCGCUGUGAAAUCCCGGGGCUCAACCCCGGGCUUGCAGUGGAUACGGGCUGACUAGAGGUAGGCAGGGGAGAACGGAAUUCCUGGUGUAGCGGUGAAAUGCGCAGAUAUCAGGAGGAACACCGGUGGCGAAGGCGGUUCUCUGGGCCUUACCUGACGCUGAGGAGCGAAAGCGUGGGGAGCAAACAGG